GAAUGGGAGGGGAAGGCCUCGCCCGAUGGAGAGUUAGUGGUGGAGUAUUUACUGACCUUCUGGGAAAAGCUCUCUGAGCUCAUGGGACUGGCCAGGGAGAACCUAGCCAGGGACUAAGGGAGGCAGAAGGUCUGGUACGACCGCUCAGCCUAUGGCACUGGGGACCAGGUGAGGGGUCUCAUCCCGGUGCGGAAGAAUAAGCUGCAAGGUGCCUGGGACGGGCCCUUCAAGAUCAUCAAGCAGCUAAAUCAGGAGAACAAUAUGGUGGAACUGCCCAACCGGGCUCUCAGCCACUGAGGGGACCAGGUCCACGUGAUGGAACCAAAAAUUACGGAACUAUAAAUUAUUGUGUGUGUGUGUGUGUGUGUGUGUGUGUGUGUGUGUGUGAGAGAGAGAGAGACUUGUACUGGCCGUGUGUGGCCAGUGGGAGAAGGGGGAAAAUCCCCCUGGUGGGUCUCCUCCCUGAGACAGGAGCCGGCCCCUUGCUGGAAUCAAUUCCCCUCUCUGACCAGCUAACCCCUGCCCUGCAGGCAGAGAUCAGUGAGGUGCUGCAUUCCUACCAACAGCUGUUUUCCAACUGGCCUGGGCUCACUAAUGGAGCUGUCCACUGGGUGGAGACAGCAGCUGGCACUCCAUCCGGUGUUCCCCAUUCAGAGUAACAGGGAACACAGCCCAGGCCCUGCAGGGAGAGGUCAGAGACAUGCUGGCUUUAGGGGUGAUCCAGCUAUCCACUAGCCCCAGGGGCCUCUCCCGUGGUGCUGAUCCCCAGGAAAGAUGAGUCGAUCUGAUUCUGUGUGGCCUAUCGGAAGCUCAAUGCCAUCACCAUGUCUGAUUCUUGCUUAUCCCUAGGCCUGAUGAGAUCCUAGACAAGUUGAGAUGGGACUCAGUACCCCAUGACCAGGUAUCUCACCAAAGGUGGAAUACUGGAAGGUGCCUUUCGAUCCAGAUGCCAGGUUGAAACCUGCUUUUGUCAUCCCUUUGGGGUUGUACAAGUUCCUGGUCCAACCUUUCAGCCUAAAGGAGGUGCCAGUCACCUACCAGCACCAGGGGCUGAUCCAGCAGCUUGCAUGGAUACUAUGGCCGGCCCUUCAUAACCUGAGACCCAGGAGCGGGAUGCGACCAGUGACUCUUGGCCCAGGAAGCAAGACAAAAGCCAGAGGAGGAGCAACGAGCAGAGCAGGGGCCAAGCAGCUGGAAGCGAGUCAGUCUCGGCUGGCUUGGGGCACAGGGGGAGGGCCAGAGCCCUGGCUCUGGACUCCCCUCCCCCCAAGAUGAACUUGGCUGAAAGUAACUGAUUUCUGUACUAACAAGUUCUGUUCUACGCUGUGUUCCUAUCGACUAAUAAACCUGUUUUACCGGCUA